GUCUCUUGGAGGUUGUGGCCUUGAGCCGUGGCUUUCGGAGCUAACGCGUUAAGUAGACCGCCUGGGGAGUACGGUCGCAAGAUUAAAACUCAAAUGAAUUGACGGGGGCCCGCACAAGCGGUGGAGCAUGUGGUUUAAUUCGAUGCAACGCGAAGAACCUUACCUACUCUUGACAUCCAGAGAACUUUCCAGAGAUGGAUUGGUGCCUUCGGGAACUCUGAGACAGGUGCUGCAUGGCUGUCGUCAGCUCGUGUUGUGAAAUGUUGGGUUAAGUCCCGCAACGAGCGCAACCCUUAUCCUUGUUUGCCAGCGAGUAAUGUCGGGAACUCCAGGGAGACUGCCGGUGAUAAACCGGAGGAAGGUGGGGACGACGUCAAGUCAUCAUGGCCCUUACGAGUAGGGCUACACACGUGCUACAAUGGCGCAUACAGAGGGCGGCCAACUUGCGAAAGUGAGCGAAUCCCAAAAAGUGCGUCGUAGUCCGGAUUGGAGUCUGCAACUCGACUCCAUGAAGUCGGAAUCGCUAGUAAUCGUGGAUCAGAAUGCCACGGUGAAUACGUUCCCGGGCCUUGUACACACCGCCCGUCACACCAUGGG
rnacentral:rRNA from 1 species